UACGGAGGGGGCUAGCGUUGUUCGGAAUUACUGGGCGUAAAGCGCACGUAGGCGGCUUUGUAAGUUAGAGGUGAAAGCCCAGGGCUUAACCCUGGAAUUGCCUUUAAGACUGCAUCGCUAGAAUCGUGGAGAGGUAAGUGGAAUUCCGAGUGUAGAGGUGAAAUUCGUAGAUAUUCGGAAGAACACCAGUGGCGAAGGCGGACUUACUGGACACGUAUUGACGCUGAGGUGGCGAAAGCGUGGGGAGCAAACAGGAUUAGAAAACCCUAG
rnacentral:rRNA from 1 species